GACGAACGCUGGCGGCGUGCUUAACACAUGCAAGUCGAGCGAGGCCCAUCCUUCGGGGUGGUGCCCUAGCGGCGAACGGGUGAGUAACACGUGGGCAACCUGCCCUCAGCUCUGGGAUAACUCCAAGAAAUUGGUGCUAAUACCGGAUGUGACCGCUGACCGCAUGGUCUGGUGGUGGAAAGAUUUAUCGGCUGAGGAUGGGCCCGCGGCCUAUCAGCUUGUUGGG
rnacentral:rRNA from 1 species